UACGGAGGGGGUUAGCGUUGUUCGGAAUUACUGGGCGUAAAGCGCGCGUAGGCGGAUCAGAAAGUUGGGGGUGAAAUCCCGGGGCUCAACCCCGGAAUUGCCUUCAAAACUCCUGGUCUUGAGUUCGAGAGAGGUGAGUGGAAUUCCGAGUGUAGAGGUGAAAUUCGUAGAUAUUCGGAGGAACACCAGUGGCGAAGGCGGCUCACUGGCUCGAAACUGACGCUGAGGUGCGAAAGCGUGGGGAGCAAACAGG
rnacentral:rRNA from 1 species